AGGAAUUUAGGUUAACAUCCAGACCAAGAGCCUUCAAAGCUCUAA
rnacentral:tRNA from 1 species